rnacentral:tRNA from 1 species
GCCGUGGUCGUUGAGGUCGGUGACUUCGGUGUUGGCACCACCGAGGUCGCCUAUGUCGGUGAGCACGCCGUGGUCCCAGAGCAUGCCGCGCGA